AUUGAACGCUGGCGGCAUGCCUUACACAUGCAAGUCGAACGGUAGCACGGGAGCAAUCCUGGUGGCGAGUGGCGAACGGGUGAGUAAUAUAUCGGAACGUGCCCGGUCGUGGGGGAUAACGUAGCGAAAGCUACGCUAAUACCGCAUACGAUCUACGGAUGAAAGCGGGGGAUCGCAAGACCUCGCGCGAUUGGAGCGGCCGAUAUCAGAUUAGGUAGUUGGUGAGGUAAAGGCUCACCAAGCCGACGAUCUGUAGCUGGUCUGAGAGGACGACCAGCCACACUGGGACUGAGACACGGCCCAGACUCCUACGGGAGGCAGCAGUGGGGGAAUUUUGGACAAUGGGCGCAAGCCUGAUCCAGCAAUGCCGCGUGCAGGAUGAAGGCC
rnacentral:rRNA from 1 species